rnacentral:rRNA from 1 species
ACGUAGGACCCAAGCGUUAUCCGGAGUGACUGGGCGUAAAGAGUUGCGUAGGUGGCUUGUAAAGCAAAUAGUGAAAUCUGGUGGCUCAACCAUUCAGGCUAUUAUUUGAACUCACAAGCUCGAGAACAGCAGAGGUAACUGGAAUUUCUGAAGUAGGGGUAAUAUCCGUAGAUAUCAGAAGGAACACCAAUGGCGUAGGCAGGUUACUGGGCUGUUUCUGACACUGAGGCACGAAAGCGUGGGGAGCGAACCGGA